rnacentral:rRNA from 1 species
AUUGAACGCUGGCGGCAGGCCUAACACAUGCAAGUCGAGCGGAUGAAGGGAGCUUGCUCCCGGAUUCAGCGGCGGACGGGUGAGUAAUGCCUAGGAAUCUGCCUGGUAGUGGGGGAUAACGUCCGGAAACGGGCGCUAAUACCGCAUACGUCCUGAGGGAGAAAGUGGGGGAUCUUCGGACCUUACGCUAUCAGAUGAGCCUAGGUCGGAUUAGCUAGUUGGUGGGGUAAAGGCCUACCAAGGCGACGAUCCGUAACUGGUCUGAGAGGAUGAUCAGUCACACUGGAACUGAGACACGGUCCAGACUCCUACGGGAGGCAGCAGUGGGGAAUAUUGGACAAUGGGCGAAAGCCUGAUCCAGCCAUGCCGCGUGUGUGAAGAAGGUCUUCGGAUUGUAAAGCACUUUAAGUUGGGAGGAAGGGCAGUAAGUUAAUACCUUGCUGUUUUGACGUUACCAACAGAAUAAGCACCGGCUAACUUCGUG